GACGAACGCUGGCGGCGUGCCUAAUACAUGCAAGUAGAACGCACAGUUUAUACCGUAGCUUGCUACACCAUAAACUGUGAGUUGCGAACGGGUGAGUAACGCGUAGGUAACCUGCCUGGUAGCGGGGGAUAACUAUUGGAAACGAUAGCUAAUACCGCAUAAUAUUGAUUAUUGCAUGAUAAUUGAUUGAAAGAUGCUAUUGCAUCACUACCAGAUGGACCUGCGUUGUAUUAGCUAGUAGGUGAGGUAACGGCUCACCUAGGCGACGAUACAUAGCCGACCUGAGAGGGUGAUCGGCCACACUGGGACUGAGACACGGCCCAGACUCCUACGGGAGGCAGCAGUAGGGAAUCUUCGGCAAUGGACGAAAGUCUGACCGAGCAACGCCGCGUGAGUGAAGAAGGUUUUCGGAUCGUAAAGCUCUGUUGUAAGAGAAGAACGGGUGUGAGAGUGGAAAGUUCACACUGUGACGGUAUCUUACCAGAAAGGGACGGCUAACUACGUGCCAGCAGCCGCGGUAAUACGUAGGUCCCGAGCGUUGUCCGGAUUUAUUGGGCGUAAAGCGAGCACAGGCGGUUAGAUAAGUCUGAAGUUAAAGGCUGUGGCUUAACCAUAGUACGCUUUGGAAACUGUUUAACUUGAGUGCAGAAGGGGAGAGUGGAAUUCCAUGUGUAGCGGUGAAAUGCGUAGAUAUAUGGAGGAACACCGGUGGCGAAAGCGGCUCUCUGGUCUGUAACUGACGCUGAGGCUCGAAAGCGUGGGAGCGAACAGG
rnacentral:rRNA from 1 species